UCCCUGGUGGCCUAGUGGUUAAGAAUCUGCCUUACAAUGCAGGGAAUGCAGGUUCAAUCCCUGGUCAGGGAA
rnacentral:tRNA from 1 species